CCACUGUGCCUGGCCUAAAGUGAUUAAUUCUUAAAUAUGAAAAGAUGGGCAAAAAUAAUUAGAUACUUGGGAAAGGUUAAAAACAACACAAACAAAAACCACAAGAAAAACAGAAUCCACAAGAAACAGAUAUACCACGGUAAAGCUUUUUAAAAGUUAAAAAAAAAUAUAUAAUCAAUAUACUCAGAGAAGUAGGAGAAAACACGAUAUUGGCAAUAUAAGAUCAGAAUGCUACAGAAAGGAACAAACAAAAAUGAAGAGCCCUUGUAAAUUAAAAAUCAGAUAGGUUAUAUUAAAAACACAAGAAAAUCUGGCAGAAAGUAGUGCAGAUAGGUAAGAUGAAAAAUAAACAAGAAAAAAGAUGCAGCAGAUCAACUCAAGAGAUUCAACAGGAGUUCCAGCAAAAAGAACACAGGUAUUUAUCAAAAUAAUGCAGUAAGAACAUCCAGAACUGAAGGCUACAAUUAUCAAGAUCAGGGCUGUCCAACAGAAAUACAAUGCAGACCAUUAUGUAAUUUUAAAUUUUCUAAUAGUUACAUUUAAAAAGUUGGUCAAAUACAUCUUAAUAAUGAAUUUAUUUUAACUUAAUGUUCCAAAUGUUAUUUCAACUGGUAAUUAAUAUAAAAAAUUAGAAAAGAUUUUAUACUUUUUCUUUUAAUGGGUAUUUUUACAUUUACAACCCAUCUUAAUUUUGACCAGAGACACUUCAAGUGCUGACGUGUGAUUAGUGGCUACAGUACUGGGCAGCGGAGGGACAGACUGAAAUUCUACAUUAGCUGUCUGGUUCCAUAGCUCUCUUUCAGUUCCAUGGAAUGUGACUAAAAAUAUGCUGAUUUCAAAGACUGAUGUGAAGAUUACGUGAGAGAAUUAGAGUGUUUUAGAGAGUCUCCCUAUGUUCACACCAGGCCGGCCUCAAACUCCUGAGCUCAACUGAUCUUCCCACCUCAGCCUCCCAAGUAGCUGGGACUACAGGUGUGUGCCAUUGCACUUGACUUAAAACAUUUAAAAUUUAUAAAAUAGAACCCUCAUGAUUAAAAACAAGCUUAUUUAAAAAUACUAGUCUACUAUUGUUAUUUGUUAAGGUAAAAAAAAACUUUAAGUAAGCCUUUUUACCAAACUCUUCAGCUAUAGCCUGGUAGGUUUU
rnacentral:lncRNA from 1 species